GGUGUAGCGCAGUUGGUAGCGCGCAUGCUUUGGGAGCAUGAUGCCGUGGGUUCGAAUCCCGCCACU
rnacentral:tRNA from 1 species